GGCUCCCCCUGCACGCGGGCGGCGGCCGCGCGGGAGUCCCGGGCCGGGGUCUGUGCGGGCGCCGCGGGGACGGCCCAGCCCGGGGCCGGGCUCCUGCCGCAGCGCUUCCCGGCGGUGCGAACGGGCUUCCGAGCUGCCGCGUGGAGCUAGCGGUUCCCUGGCCGGGAUGCCCGGGGCUCGACGAGAAGGCUCCCAACAUGGCGCCUGGCACCUGCUUCGGCGUCAGCUCUCUCUGACUUGUGGAUUCCUUCUUCUCACAAAAGUCCAUUUGUUAAGGAAGCUACUUUCGCCUUAUCCGAAGCAACUGGAGAAGAGAUGGCAGGGAGGAAGGAGCUGAGAGAGAAAAUCCCAAGCAGAUUCCACACCCAGUGCAAGCCUGACUCGGUACUUGAUCUCACAAACCUGAGAUCAUUACUUGAGCCAAAAUCAAGAGUUGGAGACUCAACCAACUAAGCCACCCCAGAAGAAUCUUGUUUUCUGAUCCUGAAUCCUCUGGGCUCUGGAUCAUCUAACCUUUGAAGUCUCCAGUUUUUACCCCAUCCCUUCCAAAAUAAUACUUGAGACACUGCAAAUUCAAAUGCCUGUGGGCCAGUAGUGGCUGAGCACAAGGCAGGAUAAAGACUUCGGUUCUCUGGCUGGAAGUGGCCAUGUAACUCCACACUGGCCCGAAGGAUGUAAGCCACUGUACUGUGACAGGACACUUCUCUGAACUGUCCCAAAGGAAAGAGGAAGGUACCUUCUCUGGCUGGAACAAAAAUGGCACGGCUGACGCUGCAGCUGCCACCCGGGUCCUUGGCAUGACCAUGGAAAUGGAAAGACCCUGUAGGCCUCUAGAUGGGAGCUAAGGUCUCGGACGUUGCAGUGGACCAGCCCCGCCUCUGCCAGACUAUCUCCAACCAACUAUCUGAACAUGGGAGAAAUAAACUUUAUUUAAGCCACCAUUAUUUUCUGACUAUUUGUGAUAAUGCAGUUUAUUCCAAACCAAUGUCCUCCCCCAUCACUGCCUUGUGGCUCUCUUGUGUGCACUUAGGAACACAGUGUGACACAGGGGGUUCACAGGGAAUUGAUGUCAUGUGAUCCUCCCCUCGUGGGCUGGCCAGAAAGCCCAUUUCCAUGGUGAGAGCAGUGUUUCUGGAGUGCCCAGAGGACUGACGCACCCCGACCCCCACCCCCACCCUCCCUCCCUU